ensembl:misc_RNA 7SK 7SK RNA
GGAUGUGAGGGAGAUCGGGCUGCAACAUCUGUCACCCCAUUGUAUCGCCAGGGUUGAUUCCUGCUGAUCUGGCUGGCUAGGCGGGUGUCCCCUUCUUCCCUCACUGCUGCACGCUCUGUGGAAGAAGACAGCCUUCCCCGAAUAGAGACAGACCAGUCUCUGAUCAAGAGUAUAGGAGAAGCUGCGCUCCCCUGCUAGAACCUCCAAACAAGCUCUCACUGGUUCCUGCCUGAAUUCAUUACUUCACACUUAUGGGAAUGAUACUGCCCCCCUUUC